GACGAACGCUGGCGGCGUGCUUAACACAUGCAAGUCGAACGGAAAGGCCCUGCUUUUGUGGGGUGCUCGAGUGGCGAACGGGUGAGUAACACGUGAGUAACCUGCCCUUGACUUUGGGAUAACUUCAGGAAACUGGGGCUAAUACCGGAUAGGAGCUCCUGCUGCAUGGUGGGGGUUGGAAAGUUUCGGCGGUUGGGGAUGGACUCGCGGCUUAUCAGCUUGUUGGUGGGGUAGUGGCUUACCAAGGCUUGGACGGGUAGCCGGCCUGAGAGGAUGGCCGGCCACACUAGGACUGGAAUACGGCCCAGACUCGUACGGGAGGGAGCAGUGGGGAAGAUUGAACAAGAGGAGGAAGCCUAAUGCAGCAAAGCAACGUGGGGGGAGACGUGAUUCGCGUAGUGUACCGCUUUCGCCUGUGACGAAGCGAGAGUGACGGUAACGGGUAAAGAAGCACCGGCUAACUACGUG
rnacentral:rRNA from 1 species